rnacentral:rRNA from 1 species
UACGAAGGGGGCUAGCGUUGUUCGGAGUUACUGGGCGUAAAGGGCGCGUAGGCGGCGCAUCAAGUCAGGCGUGAAAGCCCUGGGCUCAACCCGGGAAUUGCGCUUGAUACUGGUGUGCUUGAGUACGGGAGAGGAUAGUGGAAUUCCCAGUGUAGAGGUGAAAUUCGUAGAUAUUGGGAAGAACACCGGUGGCGAAGGCGGCUAUCUGGACCGUAACUGACGCUGAGGCGCGAAAGCGUGGGGAGCAAACAGG